rnacentral:rRNA from 1 species
GACGGGGGGGGCAAGCGUUGUUCGGAAUUACUGGGCGUAAAGGGCUCGUAGGCGGCCAACUAAGUCGGAUGUGAAAUCCCCAGGCUCAACCUGGGAACUGCAUCCGAUACUGGAUGGCUUGAAUUCGGGAGAGGGAUGCAGAAUUCCAGGUGUAGCGGUGAAAUGCGUAGAUAUCUGGAGGAAUACCGGUGGCGAAGGCGGCAUCCUGGACCGACAUUGACGCUGAGGAGCGAAAGCCAGGGGAGCAAACGGG